UGUUGUUGUGACAGCAAUUUAAUCUCAGAUAUUCCUUCAGAACCUGUAGGGUUAACUAAUUGGACUCUAACUCAGAGUACACAGCCAUUUGGAUGGGAGGAGAAAAAAGAGCAAGAAUUGAUUAGAGAUGAGGAGAAGGAAGCUGGACUUCUCUCGUGGAGACACUCCUUGAAGGGGCACCCUCAAAUCUGGCCAUUAAAGAAAGAAGUUCAGCAGAACCAGAAUUUUGCCACAGAUAUACUUUCGGAGUGCGAGCCACUGUUCAGUGCUUUCCUGCUUGGCUUGCUUCAUCCAGUGCCUGUGCUGGAACUGUGACACAAGAAGAGCCUCUUGUAAUCCAUUAAAUGCUGCCUGGCAAAUCCUCUA